GCCCUUAGAGUUUGAUCAUGGCUCAGAAUGAACGCUGGCGGCGUGCCUAACACAUGCAAGUCGAGCGAGAAAGGGGACUUCGGUUCCUGAGUAGAGCGGCGCACGGGUGAGUAACGCGUGGAUAAUCUGCCCAUUGAUUCGGGAUAACAGUGGGAAACCGCUGCUAAUACCGAAUAAGCUCAUGCAUUUUGGAGAUGUGUGGGGAAAGGCGGCCUCUGAUUCAAGCUGCCGUCGAUGGAUGAGUCCGCGUCCCAUUAGCUUGUUGGUGGGGUAAAGGCCUACCAAGGCGACGAUGGGUAGCCGGCCUGAGAGGGUGGCCGGCCACACUGGGACUGGAACACGGCCCAGACUCCUACGGGAGGCAGCAGUGGGGAAUAUUGCGCAAUGGGCGAAAGCCUGACGCAGCAACGUCGCGUGAGGGAAGAAGGCCUUCGGGUCGUAAACCUCUGUCAGGAGGGAAGAAUGUCAUGGAUUCGAACAGGGUCCGUGUUUGACGGUACCUCCAAAGGAAGCACCGGCUAACUCCGUGCCAGCAGCCGCGGUAAUACGGAGGGUGCAGCGUUAUUCGGAAUUACUGGGCGUAAAGGGCGUGUAGGCGGUCUUGUAGUCAGGUGUGAAUUCACGCUUACCGUGAACUGCCUUGAACUGCU
rnacentral:rRNA from 1 species